rnacentral:rRNA from 1 species
GACGAACGCUGGCGGCGUGCUCAACACAUGCAAGUCGAACGAUGAAACCUAGCUUGCUAGGUCGAUUAGUGGCGAACGGGUGAGUAACACGUGACUAACCUGCCCCUUUCUCUGGGAUAACGCUCCGAAAGGAGUGCUAAUACCGGAUACUCACACCGAGGCACAUGCCUUGGUGUGGAAAGUUUUUCGGAAAGGGAUGGAGUCGCGGCCUAUCAGCUUGUUGGUGAGGUAACGGCUCACCAAGGCGACGACGGGUAGCCGGCCUGAGAGGGCGACCGGCCACACUGGGACUGAGACACGGCCCAGACUCCUACGGGAGGCAGCAGUGGGGAAUAUUGCACAAUGGGCGCAAGCCUGAUGCAGCAACGCCGCGUGAGGGAUGACGGCCUUCGGGUUGUAAACCUCUUUUAGUAGGGAAGAAGCGAAAGUGACGGUACCUGCAGAAAAAGCACCGGCUAACUACGUGCCAGCCGCCGCCGUAA